GUGCUCACUUCAGCAGCACAUAUACUAAAGUUAGAAUGACACAGAGAAGAUUAACAUGGUCCCUGUGCAAGGAUGACGUGCAAAUUCAUGAAGUUUUAGAAACUAAA